UAACCUAUCUAGCAAUAGAUAGCUGAACAACCAGAAGUCAGCAGAGGUCAUAGUACCUUACCUACUCGAGAUGGUAAGGGAAGGGC
rfam:Bacillus sp. 2_A_57_CT2 genomic scaffold supercont1.12, whole genome shotgun sequence.